GCUUUCUUUUUUAUUUCUGUUAAUGUCAUAAUGACUCAUGGGACCUGUUCUUCUGUUUGUUUUGACCUCUGGGUCAGUUGCAUCUUUUCUGCGAAGUUGCUCAAGCUGGUUAUUUUUCUGCUAUUGGCUAAAAACCUAUUUCAUUGCCAAAAAUGAAAAAAGCAACAACAUACCACCUAAUUCAUGGAUGAAUUGUGCAUAAUGUAGAAGAUAAAGUGAAGCAUGUGGAAUAGGAACUAAUAGAAGAAAAACUGUGUUGAAGUAAUAUACUUCACUGAAGGAGUAAAUUGCCAUCAUUUUCAAUCCAUUACUUUUCAUUGACUUAUUUUAUCUUAUUUCCAAAAGAAAAUGAUAUUAGUAAUUCAUUUGUGUUGAUACCUAUUGUAUGCUUCAGUGUAUUAUCAAUAAA